rnacentral:rRNA from 1 species
CGGAGGUGGCAAGCGUUGUUCGGAAUUACUGGGCGUAAAGGGCGCGUAGGCGGCCUUCUAAGUCAGACGUGAAAUCCCCAGGCUUAACUUGGGAACUGCGUCUGAUACUGGAGGGCUCGAGUGCGGGAGAGGGAUGUGGAAUUCCAGGUGUAGCGGUGAAAUGCGUAGAUAUCUGGAGGAACACCGGUGGCGAAGGCGGCAUCCUGGACCGAUACGGACGCUGAGGCGCGAAAGCUAGGGGAGCAAACGGGAUUAGAUACCCCGGUAGUCCUAGCCCUAAACGAUGAGUGCUUGGUGUGGCGGGUAUCGAUCCCUGCCGUGCCGAAGCUAACGCAUUAAGCACUCCGCCUGGGGAGUACGGUCGCAAGGCUG